UACAGAGGUGGCAAGCGUUGUUCGGAAUUACUGGGCGUAAAGGGCGCGUAGGCGGCCUCGCAAGUCCCGUGUGAAAUCCCUCGGCUCAACUGAGGAAUGGCACGGGAAACUGCGGGGCUUGAGUUCGGGAGAGGGAAGCGGAAUUCCGGGUGUAGCGGUGAAAUGCGUAGAGUAUCCGGAGGAACACCGGUGGCGAAGGCGGCUUCCUGGACCGAUACUGACGCUGAGGCGCGAAAGCUAGGGGAGCAAACGGG
rnacentral:rRNA from 1 species